GCAUCCUGAACUCUAUAUCCUGAAAAUACUCUUGGGAAGGAAUUUAUGAGCCCAAGGGCACAGGGUGGGAAGAGGGCCAGGGGGUGCAUUUGGGGGAAGUCACUGGGCCU